AGCAGGGGGCGGGGAGGGAACCGGAGCUGCCCUUGAGGUUGACACCCCUUGGCCCCCACCUGGUCCUGUCUAAAUAUGUCUCCAGGAUUGGCAGGAGAGAUGGAUAACCUUCUGAGGCCAGGAUGGCCCCGUGAGGGCCGGGAUCCUCCUACCUCCAACACCUCUCACCCAGGCUCCCAGAGCCUCCCCCCUCCCCCUCCCCCCCAAUGUCCAGGGCUCCUCGGCCCCUGUCCCCACACCGGCCUAGGAGCUCAUCGCCAUAUUAAGAAAGGAAAAAGCUGGAGCUAAAAAUAAGACCAGAUGAGUCGGAGGUCAAGUCUGUUUCUUUGAUCCUGUGGAGGAAGUCGGGGGGGAGUACAAAUGCAAUCCAGGCUGCAGGAAAGAGACCCCCUGCACUUCCCUUUAAAGAACCAAGACCAAGGAUGAGGUCAUUCUCUGAAUAAAAGAUGGAGCCGAGUCCAGGACUGGCGCCCUGGCUCAGCUCCAGCCAGUUUCCUUUGCUUCACUCAACACUCCUAACUGGAGUAUGCAGAGGAAGGACGGGGCGUGGGGCGUGAAGUGCUGGCCCACAUCCAUCCUUGGAGAUGCGGAUCUGGGGCUUCUCUGCCCACAGACCCGAGAGGAGAAGGACAAAGUCGUUCGGCUGCUGCCUCCUGCUUGUACUCUCUACUCUGAUCCUACGGGACUGGUUUUCUAGGGCACAGUGGGAAGGAGGAUUCCCCUGGCUGAAUGAUUCCAAGGAGAGCGCAUUGUGACUAUUCAUUCCUACGUCUUUGACGAGACAAAAAGGAUCAGGUAUCAACGGUAGGGGAAAAAAUUAACACUGGGAAACAUGAAGAGGUGGGGCCCUGUGCCCUGAACCAAGGAUGCUGCUUAAAUCUGUGCACUGAGAGCCAAAGCAGAGCUGGUGCGGAGGGGCUCUAACUUCCUGGAUCCCAGCUUGGGGCUGAGGGCGGAGUGGAUGGGCUCAGCUCUGGGUACCUUCAAGGACCCUCUUCACGGCCCUCCAGGGCUCAUGCACAGUCUACGAUUUCCACCAGCUUUUCUCAGCAUUUCUCUCUCUCUGUAUGCUGUUCGGCACAGCCAGCCCUCUCCUCUAAAAGAAGCCUGAAAGUGAACCGAUCUACAGGGUAAAGUGGACCAGCUCACAGAGCAAAAGCCAGCGAGUGGGUGAAGAGGAAGGAAGAGCUGCCGCCAAGGGUGGGCAGGAGAGAAAGGCUCCCGGGGACUCCUCACCUGCGGGAGACGCAGCAAGUGCUGGGCCCAGGCUCGGAGGCCAGGCUUUGGGGAUCAUCCAUCACCUGUGUGGAGCUGGGGCAUGAGGGGGCGGGUGCUUUGCCUAGAGUAAAGGCUACAGGGAUCCA